rnacentral:rRNA from 1 species
UUUGGUUAAGUUAGAAAGGGCGCACGGUGGAUGCCUUGACACUAGGAGUCGAUGAAGGACGGGACUAACGCCGAUAUGCUUCGGGGAGCUGUAAGUAAGCUUUGAUCCGAAGAUUUCCGAAUGGGGAAACCCACCAUACGUAAUGGUAUGGUAUCCUUAUCUGAAUACAUAGGGUAAGGAAGACAGACCCAGGGAACUGAAACAUCUAAGUACCUGGAGGAAGAGAAAGCAAAUGCGAUUUCCUGAGUAGCGGCGAGCGAAACGGAACAUAGCCCAAACCAAGAGGCUUGCCUCUUGGGGUUGUAGGACAUUCUAUACGGAGUUACAAAGGAACGAGGUAGACGAAGCGACCUGGAAAGGUCCGUCGUAGAGGGUAACAACCCCGUAGUCGAAACUUCGUUCUCUCUUGAAUGUAUCCUGAGUACGGCGGAACACGUGAAAUUCCGUCGGAAUCUGGGAGGACCAUCUCCCAAGGCUAAAUACUCCCUAGUGAUCGAUAGUGAACCAGUACCGUGAGGGAAAGGUGAAAAGCACCCCGGAAGGGGAGUGAAAGAGAUCCUGAAACCGUGUGCCUACAAAUAGUCAGAGCCCGUUAACGGGUGAUGGCGUGCCUUUUGUAGAAUGAACCGGCGAGUUACGAUCCCGUGCGAGGUUAAGCUGAAGAGGCGGAGCCGCAGCGAAAGCGAGUCUGAAUAGGGCGUUUAGUACGUGGUCGUAGACCCGAAACCAGGUGAUCUACCCAUGUCCAGGGUGAAGUUCAGGUAACACUGAAUGGAGGCCCGAACCCACGCACGUUGAAAAGUGCGGGGAUGAGGUGUGGGUAGCGGAGAAAUUCCAAUCGAACCUGGAGAUAGCUGGUUCUCCCCGAAAUAGCUUUAGGGCUAGCCUUAAGUGUAAGAGUCUUGGAGGUAGAGCACUGAUUGGACUAGGGGUCCUCAUCGGAUUACCGAAUUCAGUCAAACUCCGAAUGCCAAUGACUUAUCCUUAGGAGUCAGACUGCGAGUGAUAAGAUCCGUAGUCAAAAGGGAAACAGCCCAGACCGCCAGCUAAGGUCCCAAAGUGUGUAUUAAGUGGAAAAGGAUGUGGAGUUGCUUAGACAACUAGGAUGUUGGCUUAGAAGCAGCCACCAUUUAAAGAGUGCGUAAUAGCUCACUAGUCGAGUGACUCUGCGCCGAAAAUGUACCGGGGCUAAAUACACCACCGAAGCUGCGGAUUGAUACCAAUGGUAUCAGUGGUAGGGGAGCGUUCUAAGGACAGUGAAGUCAGACCGUAAGGACUGGUGGAGUGCUUAGAAGUGAGAAUGCCGGUAUGAGUAGCGAAAGACGGGUGAGAAUCCCGUCCACCGAAUGCCUAAGGUUUCCUGAGGAAGGCUCGUCCGCUCAGGGUUAGUCAGGACCUAAGCCGAGGCCGACAGGCGUAGGCGAUGGACAACAGGUUGAUAUUCCUGUACCACCUCUUUAUCGUUUGAGCAAUGGAGGGACGCAGAAGGAUAGAAGAAGCGUGCGAUUGGUUGUGCACGUCCAAGCAGUUAGGCUGAUAAGUAGGCAAAUCCGCUUAUCGUGAAGGCUGAGCUGUGAUGGGGAAGCUCCUUAUGGAGCGAAGUCUUUGAUUCCCCGCUGCCAAGAAAAGCUUCUAGCGAGAUAAAAGGUGCCUGUACCGCAAACCGACACAGGUAGGCGAGGAGAGAAUCCUAAGGUGUGCGAGAGAACUCUGGUUAAGGAACUCGGCAAAAUGACCCCGUAACUUCGGGAGAAGGGGUGCUUUCUUAACGGAAAGCCGCAGUGAAUAGGCCCAAGCGACUGUUUAGCAAAAACACAGCUCUCUGCGAAGCCGUAAGGCGAAGUAUAGGGGGUGACACCUGCCCGGUGCUGGAAGGUUAAGGAGAGGGGUUAGCGUAAGCGAAGCUCUGAACUGAAGCCCCAGUAAACGGCGGCCGUAACUAUAACGGUCCUAAGGUAGCGAAAUUCCUUGUCGGGUAAGUUCCGACCCGCACGAAAGGUGUAACGAUUUGGGCACUGUCUCAACCAGAGACUCGGUGAAAUUAUAGUACCUGUGAAGAUGCAGGUUACCCGCGACAGGACGGAAAGACCCCGUGGAGCUUUACUGUAGCCUGAUAUUGAAUUUUGGUACAGUUUGUACAGGAUAGGCGGGAGCCAUUGAAACCGGAGCGCUAGCUUCGGUGGAGGCGCUGGUGGGAUACCGCCCUGACUGUAUUGAAAUUCUAACCUACGGGUCUUAUCGACCCGGGAGACAGUGUCAGGUGGGCAGUUUGACUGGGGCGGUCGCCUCCUAAAGUGUAACGGAGGCGCCCAAAGGUUCCCUCAGAAUGGUUGGAAAUCAUUCGUAGAGUGCAAAGGCAUAAGGGAGCUUGACUGCGAGACCUACAAGUCGAGCAGGGACGAAAGUCGGGCUUAGUGAUCCGGUGGUUCCGCAUGGAAGGGCCAUCGCUCAACGGAUAAAAGCUACCCCGGGGAUAACAGGCUUAUCUCCCCCAAGAGUCCACAUCGACGGGGAGGUUUGGCACCUCGAUGUCGGCUCAUCGCAUCCUGGGGCUGUAGUCGGUCCCAAGGGUUGGGCUGUUCGCCCAUUAAAGCGGUACGCGAGCUGGGUUCAGAACGUCGUGAGACAGUUCGGUCCCUAUCCGUCGUGGGCGUAGGAAAUUUGAGAGGAGCUGUCCUUAGUACGAGAGGACCGGGAUGGACGCACCGCUGGUGUACCAGUUGUUCUGCCAAGGGCAUAGCUGGAUAGCUAUGUGCGGAAGGGAUAAGUGCUGAAAGCAUCUAAGCAUGAAGCCCCCCUCAAGAUGAGAUUUCCCAUAGCGUAAGCUAGUAAGAUCCCUGAAAGAUGAUCAGGUUGAUAGGUUCGAGGUGGAAGCAUGGUGACAUGUGGAGCUGACGAAUACUAAUAGAUCGAGGACUUAACCAUAUAA